UCCAUUCACUCUCAUCCUUUCUCUCUUUAGGACCGGUCGCUUGUACCGCAAGUAGUGACGAAUACUGGUGACCUUUUCCUAUUCAAUAGAAUCGAUAGGUUUUGAAUUGAAUACAAGAGAACCGUUC
ensembl:ncRNA ZC504.8 ncRNA